UCCAGACUCCUACGGGAGGCAGCAGUGAGGAAUAUUGGUCAAUGGUCGGGAGACUGAACCAGCCAAGUCGCGUGAGGGAUGACGGCCCUACGGGUUGUAAACCUCUUUUGUCGGGGAGCAAAUUCCGCCACGUGUGGCGGAGUCGAGAGUACCCGAAGAAAAAGCAUCGGCUAACUCCGUGCCAGCAGCCGCGGUAAUACGGAGGAUGCGAGCGUUAUCCGGAUUUAUUGGGUUUAAAGGGUGCGCAGGCGGAGGUGCAAGUCAGCGGUCAAAUUGCGGGGCUCAACCCCGUACUGCCGUUGAAACUGCAUCCCUUGAGUGCGCGAGAAGUAUGCGGAAUGCGUGGUGUAGCGGUGAAAUGCAUAGAUAUCACGCAGAACUCCGAUUGCGAAGGCAGCAUACCGGCGCGCAACUGACGCUCAUGCACGAAAGCGUGGGUAUCGAACAGGAUUAGAUACCCUGGUA
rnacentral:rRNA from 1 species